rnacentral:rRNA from 1 species
UACGAGGGGUGCAAGCGUUGCUCGGAAUUAUUGGGCGUAAAGGGUAGGUAGGUGGUCUCAUUUGUCCGGGGUGAAAUCCUGGAGCUCAACUCCAGAACUGCCUUUGAUACUGAAGAUCUUGAGUCCGGGAGAGGUGAGUGGAACUGCGAGUGUAGAGGUGAAAUUCGUAGAUAUUCGCAAGAACACCAGUGGCGAAGGCGGCUCACUGGCCCGGUACUGACGCUGAGGCACGAAAGCGUGGGGAGCAAACAGG